rnacentral:rRNA from 1 species
GUAGGGAAUAUUGGACAAUGGGGGCAACCCUGAUCCAGCGACGCCGCGUGAGUGAUGAAGGCCUUCGGGUCGUAAAGCUCUGUCGCAGGGGAAUAACACAAUGAAGGUACCCUGUAAGAAAGGAUCGGCUAACUUCGUGCCAGCAGCCGCGGUAAGACGAGGGAUCCUAGCGUUGUUCGGAAUCAUUGGGCGUAAAGCGGAUGUAGGUGGCUAUGUAAGUCAGAUGUGAAAGCCUGGGGCUCAACCCCAGAAGUGCAUUUGAUACUGCGUAGCUUGAGUGUCGGAGAGGUUACUAGAAUUGUUGGUGUAGUGGUGAAAUACGUAGAUAUCAACAGGAAUACCGGAGGCGAAGGCGGGUAACUGGCCGAACACUGACACUGAGAUCCGAAAGCGUGGGGAUCAAACAGGAUUAGAAACCCGUGUAGUCC